rnacentral:rRNA from 1 species
UACGUAGGGGGCAAGCGUUGUCCGGAAUCAUUGGGCGUAAAGCGCGUGUAGGCGGCCAGAAAAGUCCGCUGUGAAAACUCGAGGCUCAACUUCGAGCUGUCGGUGGAAACUUUCUGGCUAGAGUCCGGAAGAGGAGAAUGGAAUUCCCGGUGUAGCGGUGAAAUGCGCAGAUAUCAGGAAGAACACCCGUGGCGAAGGCGGUUCUCUGGGAC